rfam:Triticum aestivum genome assembly, contig: Triticum_aestivum_CS42_TGACv1_scaffold_097633_2AL
UCUAUACUCCCUCCGUUCCAAAAUACUUGACUUCCAUUUGUCCAAAAAUGGAUGUACCUAUAUACUAAGACAUGUCUAGGUACAUAUAUAUUUUGACAAAUAGAAGGCAUGUAUUGUGCAACGGAGGGAGUAGAAU